rnacentral:lncRNA from 1 species
UUUAACCACAGAGAGGCACAUAGGUCACAUUCUCACAACAAUGCCUUCAAAAUGAGAAGGCCCCGCCAUCUGCAAAGGAGCAUGUUCACAGAUUUUCCAAUUGAAAGAAACCAUAUUUGUCUCAUCCUUACCUGGAACCGAUUGGAAUAUCAAGAUUCUACACCUCAAGCCUGAGCCUAAUCCCAGAAUGGGCUGAGACACUGAGACAUCUUGGGAAGGUGGAAGUAUAUUCUCCAGUUGUUAAGAACGUGGAUUAUGGUGAGUAUACUAGAUGAAGAGAGGGCAAUUAGGAACCAUUACAAUGCUCCAGUAAAAAGUAUGUAUUAUUACCUACAUUAGGAAAAUGUCAGUUGACCUACAGAGAAGUGGAGAGAUUCAAGAUAUAUAUACAAGGUAGAAUGGGCAAGUUUUGAAGGCUGAUUGGAUGUCAGGGUUGAGAGAAAGGCAACAUUUUUGAACGAUGCAACUUUAAAGUUUAUAUCUUACACAACUGAGUGGAUAGUGAUCCCAAUUCACUAUAAAACAUGGGCAAAACAGGAGGUUCAUUGCGGAGAAUGAGAGUUCACUUUUAGACACUGAAUUUAAGGUGCUUAUGGAGCAUUCAAACAGAAAUAUCCAGAGUAUGGUUACAUAUACUGGUUUAAAGCUCAGGAGAGAUCUGAGUGAAAGAUACAAAUUUUAGGCUAUCUGUAAUAACUAAAACAAUGAAAAUGGAUGAUAGAGGCUAGUGGUAAUGUGUAGCAUGCUAAAAGAAUAAAGCCUAGAGUUGAAUCCUGAUAAACACCAGAACUUAAGAGUAACGCAGAGAAAUAGAAGGCAACAGAGAAUAAAAAUAAGCAGUCACAAAGUAAGUGCAAAGUUGUAAGACUGCAGUGACAGGAAAGGUAAAAGUGUUCUGUGAAAGCAAAAGUGGUAAGCUCUGCUUGCUCCCUGAGAAGCAGGAGGAGAUAUGAAUUAGGACAAGGCUAGAGGAACAGAACUAACUAGGAGGAGAAAUAAUUGUCCAUGGUAGUAAGAGGUAUGAGAGAGUUAUGGGUAAAUUUAUCUGAUACUUUCAACUUUCCCCCUUCAACAAGUAUUAAAGUAAAUAGAAAUGGAAACCAGGACUGAAAAACUCCUGAGCAAUCAAAUCUAGUCAGGCCUCUUAAGCGACUUUAACCUUGCUCAAUAUGCAAACAUAAGUGAAACUUAACUUGAGCUAUUUAUUGUGAAUGCAUACAUUAAAGAAAAACAGAAAUUAAGCUCAAUCAAUUGGAAGCAGCCAACAGACUUAUAAUUAUAUAACUCAGGACUAUCCAAUAGUAUAUACCAAAUAAGGCAACUGUAUAGCUAUAGCCAAUCAAGUAUCUUCUUUGCUUUACUUCUGUGUUCAUUUCAUAAAAACCUCCCUCUUGCAUUUUCCUGGUGGAUCUCCUGAACCACUUCUUGUCUGGAACUUCCCAAUUCAUGAAUCAUUGUUUGCUCAAAUAAACUCUAUAAAAAAAAUUACUGUGCCUCAGUUUACCUUUUUAACAAGGGG